AAACCGUUCAGGGGUAAACCUGAGAAACCCGAAAGUUCGAAAGGAGAGAUUCACCGCGACUCGUGUCGUCGACGCGGUUCGGUACGGACGUCGUUCGGACCUCGGUCCGAGCGCGCCGCACCGGUCCCGUCGUGACGUGCGAUCGCGUGCACUUCUCUCCCGGUAGGACGUCGCGACCCGUUGGGUGUCGGUCUACGAUCGUCGUCGGUGGAGUCCGAGGGACGCAGUUCGCGCUCGUUCCCUCGAACCCGACCGAUCCGGCCGACUUGCUCGACGGUAGACACAGUGGGCGCGGGGCCGCUACCGGUUAGCGUCCGGCCCGUCGCAAGCGUGCGCGGUAAUUCGGUGUAUCGACGGCCUCGUGUCUUCGGUCCCGGAUCCGGGCUACUGUUGGCGACGGUGUCCUCGGACAGACCUCGUAUACACGCCAGUCAGCGACGCUAUCGCUUUGGGUACUUUCAGGACCCGUCUUGAAACACGGACCAAGGAGUCUAGCAUGCACGCGAGUCUUCGGGACUCUUAUAGACGAAUCCUAAAGGCGCAAUGAAAGUGAAGGUCCGCCUCGGCGCGCGACCUAGGGAAGACGAGAAGUUUCCGCCUCGUCGCGGGGACGACUCCGCACUCCCGGGGCGUCUCGAUCUCAUCGCGAGAUGAGGCGCACCCAGAGCGUACACGCU
rnacentral:rRNA from 1 species